CCGUUGCCAGCCCGCUCAGAAACUCAAAGGAAUUGACGGGGCCCGCACAAGCGGAGGAGCAUGUGGUUUAAUUCGAUGAUACGCGAGGAACCUUACCUGGGCUCGAACGUAAGAUGACUGUAGGUGAAAGCUUACAUCUCUUCGGAGCAUUUUACGAGGUGCUGCAUGGUUGUCGUCAGCUCGUGCCGUGAGGUGUCGGGUUAAGUCCCAUAACGAGCGCAACCCCUACCUUUAGUUGCCAUCAGGUAAUGCUGGGGACUCUAAAGGAACUGCCUACGCAAGUAGUGAGGAAGGCGGGGAUGACGUCAAAUCAGCACGGCCCUUACGUCCAGGGCUACACACGUGCUACAAUGGCCGAUACAGAGGGCAGCUACCUGGUGACAGGAUGCAAAUCUCCAAAGUCGGUCUCAGUUCGGAUCGGAGUCUGCAACCCGACUCCGUGAAGUUGGAUUCGCUAGUAAUCGCGCAUCAGCCAUGGCGCGGUGAAUACGUUCCCGGGCCUU
rnacentral:rRNA from 1 species